rnacentral:misc_RNA from 1 species
ACAAGAGAAAACUAACCGUCAAACAAUCUCGAUAGCGUAACCCGCAUCGGCGCCCGAGCUCCCUUUCGCAACCUGGAUUUAAGGACCAAAACGAAGGCCUUUUCUCGCGCAAUUGCCUUGUGCUUCGCUGAUUGUGGAAACAAAGGAGCCAUGGCAACUUUUGGGAUCAAAUCAGGAGGAACGGCUGCAGGAGGAGCAGCAACAGGAGGGGGCUUCUCCUUUGGAAAUCAGAAUCCAGCAACAGGGGGUGGAUUCAGUUUUGGCCAGCCGCAGCAACAACAGGCAACACCUGCAGCAGCGGCAACAGCAGCAGCACCACAAGCAAACAAGAGUCUUUUCGGCACUCCUCCUGCUGGUACCCAGCGCCUUGGGUUUAAUUUCAGCACCCUGGGCGGUGCUCCAAACACCUCAACAGCUGCCACGACGACUUCUGCCUCCAGCUUCAGCUUCAACUCAACACCUGCCCCAGCUACCUCAACCACUACAUUUGGGGGGUUCAACUUCAGCAGUACACCAGCUGCCACCAGUUCAAGUGGCUUCUUGGGAGGUGCAACCCAGACCCAGACUGCAGGGACCACUGGCUUCAGUUUAGGAGGAUCCAACUUGGCCCCCACAGCGACCUCGAGUGCAGCAGGCUCCUCCUCAGGCUUCUCCUUCACAGGUCUUGGAGGGGCCACAGUGACCUCAGCUGCUCCAGCAACAGAUUUUUCGGCUGGAUUAGGGGGUGCACAGGCCUUGCAGACUUCACAGGCACCAAAGCUUGGAGGUGGCUUUGGGUUCACUAGUUUGCAGACCACCACUACCACCACAAGUUCCACAGGCCUGGGGGGUAUUAGCAUAGGGCUUGGAGGGGCACAACCCCCAUCGGCCAAUGCAGGUAACAACAACGUAGGAGCGAAGACCGAUGGCAAAUCUGCAAAAGAACAACUUGUGUCAAAUGACUUGUUUAGCACCAUUUCUGUCUUUGAAUCCCGUCGCGAUGCUGAGAACUCGGCCUCAGAGGAGAACAUCCGCCAAACAGCUGCCCCCUUUCACAAGGUAGCCAAGAAAGCAGAGGAGAUUCAGCAGCUGCUUGCUGAGCUAGCCAGCGAAUACCAGCAGCUUCAUGCCAGUGCCGUCAACCUUAAGGCAGAAGUUAUGAAGGAAGCAGAGCAUGUAGAGAUGGCCAGGCGGACCAAGGAGACGCCGAUGGCCCUGCAGGGGGAGAACAAAGCCCCCGAGAUGUACUUCAUCAACCUUGUUCGGUACUUUGAGUCCGAAAUGAUGUACUGCCGCACCAAAAUCGAGGAGGUGUCCUUGUGCAUGCAGGCUGCUAGUAACCCCUGUGAAACACCGGAUGACAUCUCGGAGGUUCUGCAGCACGAGCAUGACACCUUAAAGGAGCUGGCCAGCAAAGUGUAUACCAAGCACUCACAGCUUGUAGAGCUGGGCCACCGCCUCAACACCUCCGCCAUGCCCCAUGAGCAGGGUUUCUUCCGACCCCAGUCUAAGGAGGACACAAAGACCCCAGCUUCGGCUGUGGUGCGGCCAGUGCUGGGGGGCAGCAGCGGCCUUCAAGCAUUCCAGGAACAACAGGAGCGAGCCAAAGCAGUGACACUAGGUGCAGCCCCCCCAACCAUGCCCCUCGCACAGACUACCACACCCUCUAUGUUCGGAAGCAACCCGAAUGCCUCAAGCAUCUUCCCAACGGGUAGUGGCUACUUCGGGACAGGUAGCUUCAACCUUGGCUCACAGACAGCCAACACAUCCUUUGGGGGCUCCAAGACUUUUGGCACAAACACCUCCACCUUUGGGGCAUUUGGUAGCAACACCUCUGGGGUCCAGCAGUCAUCCCCAUUUGCCAUUAGCUCUCCCUUCAACACGAAGCCGUUUGGCUCGUGAGAAUGAAGGGCUCGGCUGGGGGUGAGAGAGAGAGAGAGGCACACCACUGUACACUUUGAGGGGAUGUUCGGAAAGUGAUGAUGAUGGUGAUAGCAGACGGAAAAGGCGCCUCUAAACGCUGGCAACGAAUUGUGUUCAAAUUACUUGUAUUAAGAUGUAAAGAAAUAU